UACGUAGGGCGCAAGCGUUGUCCGGAAUUAUUGGGCGUAAAGAGCUCGUAGGCGGUUUGUCGCGUCUGUCGUGAAAGCUUGGGGCUUAACCCCAAGUCUGCGGUGGAUACGGGCAGACUAGAGGCAGGUAGGGGAGAACGGAAUUCCCGGUGUAGCGGUGAAAUGCGCAGAUAUCGGGAGGAACACCGGUGGCGAAGGCAGCUCGCUGGGACGGUACUGACGCUAAGGCGCGAAAGCGUGGGGAGCGAACAGG
rnacentral:rRNA from 1 species